rnacentral:rRNA from 1 species
CCUACGGGUGGCUGCAGUGGGGAAUAUUGGACAAUGGGGGCAACCCUGAUCCAGCCAUGCCGCGUGUGUGAAGAAGGCCCUCGGGUUGUAAAGCACUUUCAGUGAGGAAGAACGCCUGGUGGUUAAUACCCAUCAGGAAAGACAUCACUCACAGAAGAAGCACCGGCUAACUCCGUGCCAGCAGCCGCGGUAAUACGGAGGGUGCGAGCGUUAAUCGGAAUUACUGGGCGUAAAGCGCGCGUAGGUGGCUUGAUAAGCCGGUCGUGAAAGCCCCGGGCUCAACCUGGGAACGGCAUCCGGAACUGUCAAGCUAGAGUGCAGGAGAGGAAGGUAGAAUUCCCGGUGUAGCGGUGAAAUGCGUAGAGAUCGGGAGGAAUACCAGUGGCGAAGGCGGCCUUCUGGACUGACACUGACACUGAGGUGCGAAAGCGUGGGUAGCAAACAGGAUUAGAUACCCGAGUAGUC